CACUUUCAACCCUCAAGCCCUGCUUGGUGUUGGGGUCCUACGGCUGCCGUAGGCCCUAGAAACUAGUGGCGGGCUCGCUAUAACUCCGAGCGUAGUAGUAACAUAUCUCGCUAGGGAAGUAUCGCGGGUUCCGGCCGUGAAAGCCCCAUCUUUUACACAAGGUUGACCUCGGAUCAGGUAGGAAUACCCGCUGAACUUAA
rnacentral:misc_RNA from 1 species